GACGUAGGGUCCGAGCGUUGUCCGGAUUUACUGGGCGUAAAGAGCUCGUAGGCGGUCUGUCGCGUCGGCUGUGAAAACUCGGGGCUCAACCCCGAGCCUGCAGUCGAUACGGGCAGACUAGAGUGCGGUAGGGGAGACUGGAAUUCCUGGUGUAGCGGUGAAAUGCGCAGAUAUCAGGAGGAACACCGGUGGCGAAGGCGGGUCUCUGGGCCGUAACUGACGCUGAGGAGCGAAAGCGUGGGGAGCAAACAGG
rnacentral:rRNA from 1 species